AGCUUUAAGUCUAUUUUACUAUGAUCCCAUAUGUCUCAGUGCUGCUUUGUUUGGCUAAAAGUUACUUAGACUCUUAAAUUCUAAAUCAUCCUUUCUCUAAAGUUUAAACAAAAAUUUCUUUUCCUCCAAAUCCCCUCAUAAUUAUCAAUGUUUUCAUAUUCAGAAUACAGGGAAUUUUUUAAUGGAAUUUCAAGUGAAAAACGUUCCCUCUGAAAGGGUUGCGACCCAGAAGAUCUUAUCUGUAAUAGGAGAGUGCCUUGACAAUUUUGGCCCUGGCUGUGUGGGUGUUCAGAAGAUACUCAAUGCUCGCUGUCCACUGGUGAGAUUCUCCCAUCAGGGCUCUGGAUUCCAGUGUGACCUGACUGCCAACAAUAGGUAUGACUGGUAAAUGACUCGCGUGGAUGUGGCUGCUGAGGCCUUAGCUUAGCUCGGGGCCCUUUACCCUUUACCCAUCCUUGAGUACUGAGCAGUCUGUUUCCAUAUGAGCUCACCAAGUGCGGCGUGAUGGCACAUACCAGUGAUCCCAUC
rnacentral:lncRNA from 1 species